AGAAGAAGGCGGCCCCAACAGAGGUCCUGUCCAUGACGGCACAGCCGGGCCCUGGCCAUGGGAAGAAGUUGGGCCAUCGAGACCACCUCCUCCACCCUGAAGGGUGCCAUCCAGCUGGGCAUCGGCUACACCGUGGGCCACCUGAGCUCCAAG
rnacentral:sRNA from 1 species